rnacentral:rRNA from 1 species
UACAGAGGUCUCAAGCGUUGUUCGGAUUCAUUGGGCGUAAAGGGUGUGUAGGUGGCGCGCUAAGUCGGGUGUGAAAUUUCGGAGCUUAACUCCGAAACUGCAUUCGAUACUGCGGUGCUUGAGGACUGGAGAGGAGACUGGAAUUCAUGGUGUAGCAGUGAAAUGCGUAGAGAUCAUGAGGAAGACCAGGGGCGAAGGCGGGUCUCUGGACAGUUCCUGACACUGAGACACGAAGGCCAGGGGAGCAAACGGG